rnacentral:rRNA from 1 species
GACGUAGGGGGCGAGCGUUGCCCGGAUUUACUGGGCGUAAAGAGCGCGUAGGCGGCCGGCCGGGUCGGCUGUCAAAGCCCCGGGCUCAACCCGGGGACGGCAGCCGAGACAGGUCGGCUUGAGGACGGCCGAGGGAGGUGGAAUUCCCGGUGGAGGGGUGAAAUCCGAUGAGAUCGGGAAGAACACUGAAGGCGAAGGCAGCCUCCCAGACCGUUCCUGACGCUGAGGCGCGAAAGCCUGGGGAG